UGAGUGGAGGAGGAGGCGGCCAGAACCCCCUCCCAGGCCCACAUAAGCUUGAAGCCUUUAGGGGUGUUCAGUGCUUUCAGCAUCUUUCUUACAACCUCUUGUCAGCCUCAGUCUGAGGGCAAGGCCAGGCAGAGGGUAGAUCACAGGAUCCCGUCUUCGGCCGUUCCCAGAGGGAAAGGAGGGGCGAGAAGGAAUUAACCCACCAAAGUGAGAAGAAAGAAGAAGGCCUUUGAUAUUUUUACCACUCCUCCCUUAGGAGCAAAUUUAGCAAACUUAGGCGACAACCUUGGAUGAAGUUGGUCUGUCUGCAGUGGCAGUUUUGUGGGUUCACAGUUGGGAGCGCAGGACUUGGAGAUGGACCCUUGAUCCGCAGGGAAAAAGAAACGGAACGGUGGGUCUGGGAUCUCACCAAUGAACUCUCACCCUUACUUUGCUCUUCCAAGCCAGAGAGGGCCAAGGAGUUUUAGGUCACAGUCUCAGAAAGAGCUGUCUACAACUGAAUACAGUGAUGAAUAAAACAGAACUGAAACACACACACAUGUAUACGUGUAUGUAAAUAAUGGUCUCCUGUCUUUAGCCAGUAAGACAAAUGUGCCUUGUAGACUGGUCAUAAGUCUGAAGAGGAACGUUAACGGCUUGCCAGCAAUGGGGACUAAGUCCUGCAGAAGUGCUGUUUGGAGUGUCCAGGAUCAGUGGGUGACAUCAGUGGGUGUCCAGAAUGUGUGCCAAUUCCAACAUGGAGGAGCUCAGGUUUGUCUGAGUAUUAUUUAUGUAGCAUAAGUUAAAAAAUGGUGUUGCUAAUAAGUGCAGUAUAUGGUCUGAUUAUGACUGUUGUGUUGUGCUUGACUUUUAUGAAAAUUCAAGCAUUCAUGAAUAAAAAAAUUUCUUGGCUUAUAUAUGAAGGGUGAAUUAGGGUGGUACAUAGUUAUUUAGUUAACAAGGACUCCUUAGUCUACUGCCUAUUUGUUUUAUAAUCAUAAGUGUGAUUUACGUCAGUUUGCAACAGAAUUAUUAAGUAGACAAAUGAGAAAUAUACAUACAAAGAUCGUGAUUACUUACUGUUUAAAUUCUUGGGUGUUUUGCUUGCUUGUGUGUUGUUUGUUUGUUUUGUUUUUGAUUUGUUUUAUUUCAAGAUAUGGUUUCCCUGUGUAGCCUUGUCUGUCCUGGACUCACUUUGUUCACAAGGCUGGCCUUGAACUCACAGAGAUCCACCUGUCUCUGCCUCCCUGAGGGCUAGGAUUACAGGCAUGUGCAACCAUGCCUGGAUUUGUUUAAAUUGUUUAUAUUCCUUAUUUUAUAGACUUGUGGCUAAAAUAAAAGGGCAACACUGUUUAAAUUAAAUUAUAUUUAAAACACAGCCAGGUAAACACCGCUAAUUUUUGUAUUGGGUGGGUUGAAUUUACCUUCUAAAUUUUUUUUUUUUCCCCCGAGAAAGACUUUAAUUGUUCAAGGCUCUAGCUUGGCUACCAUAGUAUAUUAAAUGUAAGAAUUCAAGAGUAAUUUUAGCAGGAUGACUUACUUAAAAGAGUAAAACAUGCUCAGUUAUAAUUUCUCUCCUGGGAAUUCUGGAGUUAGAAUCUACAGUAAGUGCUAAUCAGUACUACGUUUUCAUUUUACAAAGAGGAAACUGAGGCACAAAAACAACUUGGACUUUUAGGUACUGAUAUUUUCAUGACGGUUGGACUCAGUGUUACGCUAUUUGUAUCAUGUUAUUAAGAUGUUAGUAUGAGAUGUAGAGAAUGAAAAGGAAGCGUUAUGGUUAUAAUUUAAUAAAUGAUAACUCUGUAAAAUGAA